CACGUAGGGCGCAAGCGUUGUCCGGAAUUAUUGGGCGUAAAGAGCUCGUAGGCGGUCUGUUGCGUCCGCUGUGAAAACUCGGGGCUUAACCCCGAGCCUGCAGUGGAUACGGGCAGACUAGAGGUAGGUAGGGGAGAAUGGAAUUCCCGGUGUAGCGGUGAAAUGCGCAGAUAUCGGGAGGAACACCGGUGGCGAAGGCGGCGUUCUGGACUGUUACUGACACUGAUGAACGAAAGCCAGGGGAGCAAACGGG
rnacentral:rRNA from 1 species